GUUUUCAAGCUGCUGUGUACUCAGUCUCUUCCAGCUGCGAGGGGAUUAUGAACAUAUUUCUCCUUGGUCUGCAUAAGUUGAUUCAUCUCAUCAGCAUUUUCUGAUCAAUUGAUACAUUUUUGAAAGCGUGUUUUUGGCAAUUGCUUUCUAAUGUGUGAAAUGAUACCAUCUUGGGUAUUAAUGAAAAAGGAUGCUAAUGCAAUAAACAGAAGUACUUUUUACAUCAAGGCCUUUCCCUAGAGACACAGGAGCAUUGAACAUCUUCAAGUGUUUUUCCUUUUACAAAUGGUCAGGUGAACAUUUUCUGAUUUAUAAAUUUGUCUUUUAAAAAAGCUGUUUGCAUCUUGAUGCAGGAUUUCAAGUCAACUUGUUUUGGUAACUUUUAAUUUCUAAGGAUGCAUCGCUCUGCAUUUAUCAGAAGUGGCUUUAUUGGAGGGGGAUAUAAGGAGCUGUUAACCCCUUGUUUGCAUGAGUGGAUAUGGGUCUUGCUUCCAUCUGCAGUCCUGACUCCAGAGCCUCCUCCCACUCAGGUCAGGGCUGGAGGGGAGUGCCUGUUUCCCCAGUGUACUCUGCUGAUGAGUCAUGCCCUUCAGUACACAGAUGCCAGAAGCCUCCAAGCUCUCAGUAAUAUUUGGGAAAGGGAACAUGGCCUUUUCCACCUUCUGCUACCUUGAGAAAGCAGAGUAAAAGCAACAGACAUGGUGAAAACAGGUGAGGGACCAUGGUUUGACCUUAAGGGUAGAGCAAAUAUCCUCACUGAUGCAUGAGUGACAUGAAAGGAGGAAGAAAUUACUCACAGAGACAUGAAGAUGGAUGAGUUUGCUGCUGGUUUAAUAUUUCCUACGCAACCCUAGCACGGGUCCAGGCCCUACUUCCAUGAAUCAGAUCAACUUCAAGGACAGCUGGAAAAACUGAUGCUGACUUUCAGAAGGGUUUGGGAGUCAGUGAGAACAAGACUAGGGCAUGUGGGACUGGCAGA
rnacentral:lncRNA from 1 species